rnacentral:rRNA from 1 species
GGAUUAGGCAUGCAAGUCGAGCGAGAAUCGUAGCAAUACGAGGACAGCGGCGAAAGGGAGAGGAAUACGUAGAUAUCUGCCCCUGAGACCGGGAUAGCGUCGGGAAACUGGCAGUAAUACCGGAUAACGUCUUUGGACCAAAGGUGUGAUUCCGCUCGGGGAUGAGUCUACGCCCUAUUAGCUAGUUGGUGGGGUAAUGGCCUACCAAGGCGAUGAUGGGUAGCGGGUGUGAGAGCAUGAUCCGCCUCACUGGGACUGAGAACUGCCCAGACACCUACGGGUGGCUGCAGUCGAGAAUCUUUGUCAAUGGACGAAAGUCUGAACAAGCGAUCGCCGCGUGCGGGAUAAGGCCUUCGGG